AUUGAACGCUGGCGGAAUGCUUUACACAUGCAAGUCGAGCGGCAGCACGGGGGCAACCCUGGUGGCGAGCGGCGAACGGGUGAGUAAUACAUCGGAACAUGCCCAGUCGUGGGGGAUAACACUUCGAAAGAAGUGCUAAUACCGCAUACGUCCUGAGGGAGAAAGCGGGGGAUCUUCGGACCUAGCGCGAUUGGAGUGGCCGAUGUCAGAUUAGCUAGUUGGGGGGGUAAAGGCCUACCAAGGCAACGAUCUGUAGCUGGUCUGAGAGGAUGCUCAGCCACACUGGGACUGAGACACGGCCCAGACUCCUACGGGAGGCAGCAGUGGGGAAUUUUGGACAAUGGGGGCAACCCUGAUCCAGCCAUUCCGCGUGAGUGAAGAAGGCCUUCGGGUUGUAAAGCUCUUUCGGCAGGAACGAAACGGCGAGCUCUAACAUAGCUUGCUAAUGACGGUACCUGAAGAAGAAGCACCGGCUAACUACGUGCCAGCAGCCGCCGUAAAAC
rnacentral:rRNA from 1 species